GACGGAGGAUGCAAGUGUUAUCCGGAAUCACUGGGCGUAAAGCGUCUGUAGGUGGUCAAAUAAGUCAACUGUUAAAUCUUGAGGCUCAACCUCAAAAUCGCAGUCGAAACUAUUCGACUAGAGUAUAGUAGGGGUAAAGGGGAAUUUCCAGUGGAGCGGUGAAAUGCGUAGAGAUUGGAAAGAACACCGAUGGCGAAGGCACUUUACUGGGCUAUUACUAACACUGAGAGACGAAAGCUAGGGUAGCAAAUGGG
rnacentral:rRNA from 1 species